rnacentral:rRNA from 1 species
GUCCACACCGUAAACGAUGAUUACUAGGUGUUGGAGGAUUGACCCCUUCAGUGCCGCAGUUAACACAAUAAGUAAUCCACCUGGGGAGUACGACCGCAAGGUUGAAACUCAAAGGAAUUGACGGGGCCCGCACAAGCAGUGGAGUAUGUGGUUUAAUUCGACGCAACGCGAAGAACCUUACCAAGUCUUGACAUCCCUUGACGAACAUAGAAAUAUGUUUUCUCUUCGGAGCAAGGAGACAGGUGGUGCAUGGUUGUCGU